rnacentral:rRNA from 1 species
UACAGGGGGUGCAAACGUUGCUCGGAAUUAUUGGGCGUAAAGCGCGCGUAGGCGGCUACUUAAGUCGGAUGUGAAAGCCCUCGGCUUAACUGAGGAAGUGCACCCGAAACUGAGUAGCUGGAGUACGAAAGAGGGUCGCGGAAUUCCCGGUGUAGAGGUGAAAUUCGUAGAUAUCGGGAGGAACACCGGUGGCGAAGGCGGCGACCUGGGUCGAGACUGACGCUGAGGCGCGAAAGCGUGGGGAGCAAACAGG